AUGCUGGAGGUAUCAGAAGUGCGAAUGCUGACAUAAGUAACGAUAAAGCGGGUGAAAAGCCCGCUCGCCGGAAGACCAAGGGUUCCUGUCCAACGUUAAUCGGGGCAGGGUGAGUCGACCCCUAAGGCGAGGCCGAAAGGCGUAGUCGAUGGGAAACAGGUUAAUAUUCCUGUACUUGGUGUUACUGCGAAGGGGGGACGGAGAAGGCUAUGUUGGCCGGGCGACGGUUGUCCCGGUUUAAGCGUGUAGGCUGGUUUUCCAGGCAAAUCCGGAAAAUCAAGGCUGAGGCGUGAUGACGAGGCACUACGGUGCUGAAGCAACAAAUGCCCUGCUUCCAGGAAAAGCCUCUAAGCAUCAGGUAACAUCAAAUCGUACCCCAAACCGACACAGGUGGUCAGGUAGAGAAUACCAAGGCGCUUGAGAGAACUCGGGUGAAGGAACUAGGCAAAAUGGUGCCGUAACUUCGGGAGAAGGCACGCUGAUAUGUAGGUGAAGUCCCUCGCGGAUGGAGCUGAAAUCAGUCGAAGAUACCAGCUGGCUGCAACUGUUUAUUAAAAACACAGCACUGUGCAAACACGAAAGUGGACGUAUACGGUGUGACGCCUGCCCGGUGCCGGAAGGUUAAUUGAUGGGGUUAGCCGCAAGGCGAAGCUCUUGAUCGAAGCCCCGGUAAACGGCGGCCGUAACUAUAACGGUCCUAAGGUAGCGAAAUUCCUUGUCGGGUAAGUUCCGACCUGCACGAAUGGCGUAAUGAUGGCCAGGCUGUCUCCACCCGAGACUCAGUGAAAUUGAACUCGCUGUGAAGAUGCAGUGUACCCGCGGCAAGACGGAAAGACCCCGUGAACCUUUACUAUAGCUUGACACUGAACAUUGAGCCUUGAUGUGUAGGAUAGGUGGGAGGCUUUGAAGUGUGGACGCCAGUCUGCAUGGAGCCGACCUUGAAAUACCACCCUUUAAUGUUUGAUGUUCUAACGUUGACCCGUAAUCCGGGUUGCGGACAGUGUCUGGUGGGUAGUUUGACUGGGGCGGUCUCCUCCUAAAGAGUAACGGAGGAGCACGAAGGUUGGCUAAUCCUGGUCGGACAUCAGGAGGUUAGUGCAAUGGCAUAAGCCAGCUUGACUGCGAGCGUGACGGCGCGAGCAGGUGCGAAAGCAGGUCAUAGUGAUCCGGUGGUUCUGAAUGGAAGGGCCAUCGCUCAACGGAUAAAAGGUACUCCGGGGAUAACAGGCUGAUACCGCCCAAGAGUUCAUAUCGACGGCGGUGUUUGGCACCUCGAUGUCGGCUCAUCACAUCCUGGGGCUGAAGUAGGUCCCAAGGGUAUGGCUGUUCGCCAUUUAAAGUGGUACGCGAGCUGGGUUUAGAACGUCGUGAGACAGUUCGGUCCCUAUCUGCCGUGGGCGCUGGAGAACUGAGGGGGGCUGCUCCUAGUACGAGAGGACCGGAGUGGACGCAUCACUGGUGUUCGGGUUGUCAUGCCAAUGGCACUGCCCGGUAGCUAAAUGCGGAAGAGAUAAGUGCUGAAAGCAUCUAAGCACGAAACUUGCCCCGAGAUGAGUUCUCCCUGACUCCUUGAGAGUCCUGAAGGAACGUUGAAGACGACGACGUUGAUAGGCCGGGUGUGUAAGCGCAGCGAUGCGUUGAGCUAACCGGUACUAAUGAACCGUGAGGCUUAACCUUACAACGCCGAAGGUGUUU
rnacentral:rRNA from 1 species